GUAUUUGAAUUAAGUAUUCAUACAGGUUUUCAGACAAAGUUGUUAAAAAUAAGAGUUGAUGUUUACAUCCUGUAGCGCAAAUGACAAGCAUUCGCGUUACAAGACAACAUUGCACACAAGGUGGAUAUGGAUUUUUAAAGAGUGCCAUAAAACACUCAUUGUGAAUGAUCCUUCCGCAGGUUCACCUACGGAAA
rnacentral:misc_RNA from 1 species